AAAUUGAAGAGUUUGAUCAUGGCUCAGAUUGAACGCUGGCGGCAGGCCUAACACAUGCAAGUCGAACGGUAACAGGAAACAGCUUGCUAUUU
rnacentral:rRNA from 1 species